rnacentral:lncRNA from 1 species
AUAUAACAAGUGCGCGCACACACACACACAUACAUCUAAAUAUGUGUGUGUAUGUGUCAGUGUGUAAGUGUAUGCGUCAAUACUUUACUAUAAAUAUAUAAAUAAAGCUAACCGAACGUGUCGGAAGCUUUGGUUGCGUAAAUGUUUGCGGUACGUGUUUUUGGAUUUGGUCAUACAUCUGGAUGGAAUCUCAUGUUACCGGUUAGUGUCUUUACGAUUGUUCAUUUUUGUUCUUCUAGUUCCAUUCAUUCUUCAGCCACAGAGAUGAAGACGCCGAUAUAUUAAUAAGGUAUUGAUUUGGAGUCGUCGUUAGCGAAAACAUUACGCUUCUCAUUCAUUCACUGAUGUAAAUAUGUCAAUCUUUUUUCUUCUUUCGGUUUCUUCCUUGCGACAAAAUUCAUGUUAUAUAUAUAUAUUUUUAGUUCAUCUCUCGUCAUAUGUGCAGUUGUAAGCAAUAUGAAUUUACAUAGAUCUUCAUUAUUUUGUAUUACGGGGAAAAUAUUCUGAAUAUAACCUUAUUUUUGUAUUUUCUUUAAUUAAACGUUGCGUGUUUCUUUAUUUAAUGUUUAUUUCAUUUGUAAUUCAUUUCGAAACGCUGUUUUAUUCACAUAUACAUACAUAUAUACACUUAGGCGCAAGGUUAUAUUAAACACUUGUUCUGUACCACACAAUAAACAACAUAAUUUUCCCGUGGCAUAAAGCGACUUUUCUAAUUGUGUGGGAGAUAUAGUCAAGUGAUUGUUGCUGUGAUAUACCACAUAUUACAGACUACGAGUGAAUAGAAAGUAAAGUGAACCCGAAGAGUAAUUUACUGUUGGAACCGUGACGUACUAAAAACUGGGUUCUAUUUAGUUCUAGAGUUUGCGUCAAAACCAUCGUCUUUGUAUGAUAAUGUUGACGUUCUUGAGAGAGAGAAAGCGGGAAUGUAUAGACGGAAGGUGUGAGGAAAAAGAAAGACAGAUAAAAUAAGGGAAUAUAUCGCCGAAAGAGUAUUGAGAGAGAAAGGAAGUCAAUAUAUGGAUGAAGAUUGGCAGACAGAAAGAAAGAAAUAAUGGGAGUAUACAGACGGUGCGUGGGAGACAGGGAAAGCGGGAGUAUACAGACGAAUGGUGACAAAAGUGACUUGGAACAUUUCUUUGCUUUAUUUUUUCGAAUUUAGUUUUAGUUCAUAAAAGAAGUAAAGAGUAAUAAAUAUAAUUUUGUUAAAUGUUUCACCUGUUUUGUUUUAGUUACCAAAACAGAUUCAGCCUCUUGUCAACUUUGAUUGAGCAGACCUGUGAUGAGAGGCAUUCCAUCUGUGAAUAUUCUGUCCCCUGAAUGAGGACAUCAUCAAAUAAGUAUUUCCCAUUUUUAAGACAAUACAAUGUGAUUGGAACUAAAUUUGGAUGUUAGCUCUAAUAAGUCCAUAUACUUCGUUGUCACGUUUUGUCCUGACUGCAUAGUCCUAUGAUCAAACGCGUUCCAGCUGUGAUCAUUUCAUCUUUUAUAUUUUUUUACAUAGACAUAAUGUACCUCGGGUUACAUUAUCCAAUGUGCCCUUUCCUUUUUUUUAAAAUGAGGAACAUCAUUGCUGUUUAUAGCAGACUGUAUUACCGUAUAGAAGUUCCAUCCCAAAUCGCUAAUCGUCUAAUCAACACGUGGAACACAUUCUGGUCUGUUAUUGUUGUCUGCUCUGGUAAUUCUGUAUGCUUUCUUAAUUAGUCUACAACAAUCUGUUAAUCUCUAUACCUCACUGGUUUCAGCACUACAUAAUUUAGUAUAGUGCAGUUUGAUAGAUGCUAAGAGGGUCUUAAAUUUUAUUUUCGUUCAUCGGAUGGAGUGAAGAGUUGUAAAACAUGCCAACGCAUCUCUCCAUUUAAGUUUCCUGGAAUGAACGUAUACUCUCCAUAACAUGUAUGCAUGUAGCAUACGUGCAAACACAUGUAAAGUAAUUUCGGCCGAGUGCACUGAAGUGACAUGUACACCUAUAAAAAAAAUGAGUGCAUGUAUGUAUGUUUACACACGCACUAAUUCGCACUCACACAUCUACAGUUUACUGGGAUUUAAAAAUUUCUUUUCAGUUGGUUGGUUUAACGGAUGGGGCAGUGCUCAUCACCUACUUAGGCCCUCCGAGGUUGGUGAAAUCGAUGCUAUUAAUGUUUCUCUUGAACCAUUGUAAAUCAAUACCUGCGGAAGAGAAAUGAGCUGAGAGGGAGUUCAAGUGGACUGAUGUUUUGGGAAGCAAGACUGAGGAAAGUAAUUGAUGCAGGGUCUGGGUAUGGUUGACGAGAGGAUGUUGGGAUCGCCCGAAUUGAGUUGGCGUGAGCCCAGCAAACUCGCUGGAGUUAAGGCCAUUAUAGAAUCACUAGGAAACACACACAUACACAGAGAAGAGUAGCUGAAGCGUGUCUGUGGGUGACAUUAUACCAGACACCAGGGUAGCAUCUGUCUGGAUGAGUUUUAUGUCUGGCCUGCUUGAACGCUGCAAAAAAACCUUUCAUAAAUCUUAACCACACAUACAUUUGUGCACCUGCAUAUAAUAGAGGUGCACACUUUUACAUAUUUACACACAUGCGCAGGGACUUUCAAAACAGAGAUCAGAUAUGGCCGUGUUGUUAAGUUUUCUUUGUAUCUUCCUUUUUUUUUUUUGUUUUGUUUGAUAUCAAACUAUGAAGCCCAGAAAGGAUUCUUUAUAGAUUUACGGGACUUGCGUACAAGUUUCUGUCUACAAAAUCCCACCCAUAUGGUAUUGGUAGUAAAUUUGAAAACUGUGAUUAAAACAAAACUAAAAAACUCUUGCCCAAGUUGAUGUACAGCAGAAUGGAUCCCAGAAUCACAGAGUUGCAAAAUACACUUCUUUACCCAAAGAACUCUGUCUGACCGCUAUUGGAAAGCCUUUAAUCAUAGGUCUGCUCAAUCAGGGUAGAUCUGGGUCUAUACUGUGUGCGUCUUAAUAUUUGUCGGUUUGUUUGUAUCCCUAAGUUAGCGGUUCGGCAAUAAGAAUCCGAUAGAAUAACUGUUAGACUUUAAGCUACUCCUUAGGUCGAUUUGAUCGACUAAGCUCAAGGUAGAGUCCCAAUACAGUGGAAGUCUAAUGACUGGCGCAAAUACAAUAAUAAACGACCACACCCAUAAAAAGACGGAUGACAAAUAUCAACAAUUCGUAUUGUGCCCCCAAUGAUCCUGUUUAGGUUCACGGCGAUCUUGAGUGACCAGACAUGAUUAAAUGUGUUCCAGCUGUAACCAUACUCUCUUUUUAUGGGAAUCUGGGAGUACAUGAUCUAGUGUUUUAUUUCUUUAUUGAAGACGAGCGGGCAGUACCUUCCAACUUUUUAAGGGUUUGUUUUAAUAAAAGAAACAUGACAAAUAAAAUAGAUAAAACAUUAAAUAUGUUUCAAAUAUAUUGAAUAUUGUAAAGUUGCU